CGGGUUGUAAAGUACUUUCAGUCGUGAGGAAGGCGGCGUCGUUAAUAGCGGCGUUGUUUGACGUUAGCGACAGAAGAAGCACCGGCUAACUCCGUGCCAGCAGCCGCGGUAAUACGGAGGGUGCGAGCGUUAAUCGGAAUUACUGGGCGUAAAAGCGCAUGCAGGUGGUUUGUUAAGUCAGAUGUGAAAAGCCCGGGCUCAAACCUCGGAAAUUGCAUUUGAAAACUGGCAGACUAGAGUACUGUAGAGGGGGUAGAAUUUCAGGUGUAGCGGUGAAAAUGCGUAGAGAUCUGAAGGAAUACCGGUGGCGAAGGCGGCCCCCUGGACAGAUACUGACACUCAGAUGCGAAAGCGUCGGGGAGCAAACAGGAUUACGAUACCCUGGUAG
rnacentral:rRNA from 1 species